rnacentral:rRNA from 1 species
UACGUAGGGUGCGAGCGUUGUCCGGAAUUAUUGGGCGUAAAGAGCUCGUAGGCGGUUUGUCAACGUCUGCUGUGAAAUCCCGAGGCUCAACCUCGGCCUGCAGUGGGUACGGGCAGACUGGAGUGCGGUAGGGGAGAUUGGAAUUCCUGGUGUAGACGGUGGAAUGCGCAGAUAUCAGGAGGAACACCGAUGGCGAAGGCAGAUCUCUGGGCCGUAACUGACGCUGAGGAGCGAAAGGCGUGGGGAGCGAACAGG